rnacentral:rRNA from 1 species
GACGAACGCUGGCGGCGUGCUUAACACAUGCAAGUCGAGCGGUAAGGCCCUUUCGGGGGUACACGAGCGGCGAACGGGUGAGUAACACGUGGGUGACCUGCCCUUAGCUCUGGGAUAAGCCUGGGAGACUGGGUCUAAUACCGGAUAUGACUCCAUGACGCAUGUUGUGGGGUGGAAAGCCUUGUGCGGCUAGGGAUGGGCCCGCGGCCUAUCAGCUUGUUGGUGGGGUGANGGCCUACCAAGGCGACGACGGGUAGCCGGCCUGAGAGGGCGACCGGCCACACUGGGACUGAGACACGGCCCAGACUCCUACGGGAGGCAGCAGUGGGGAAUCUUGCGCAAUGGGCGAAAGCCUGGCGCAGCGACGCCGCGUGGGGAUGACGGCCU